rnacentral:lncRNA from 1 species
CUCUCUCUUUCAUGUUACAUAUGUUUAAGUUUUUUUUUGUGAAAUGAAAUAUAUACAUAUUCUUAACAAAUCAUAAAAUUUCUUUGGUUGAGAUUGAAUUUGAUUCUUCUAUGCAGCCUCUAUUCCAAGGAGAGAAAUCUGGUGCUGUCAGAGGCAGUGGGAGACCAAGAACCAUGUAAGCCAAGAAGACAAGUGAUAGAAUACAAGUGAUAGCAGACAAGGGUUCUCUAUCAUUAUGAAGAAUCAUGCUUUCUGGGCCUUGCCUGUAGCUGGGAGAUGAUCAAGGAAGAAGCAAAAUGCUGUGAAGUUUAUGCUUGAAAAUAAUGAGACGGGGAGGUUAAGGAGAGCACUAAAGCAGUAUCUACUGAGCGAAAUGUAACAAGGAAUUACGGGGUUAUGUGGCAAGAUUUCCAAGAUUAAUUGAAGACAAAGUUGUAUUGUGUCUUUUACCUCAGGAUCUCUCCUUAAGCACAGAAAUCAUGUUACCUUUUGAAUCUGCCUGCCUAACCCAACACCUGGCACAUCCAAGGUAUUUAAUAAAGGUUUAUUGAUACCAUUCUAUCCAUAAACCCCUUACACCCUAUUAUGCCUAAUCUAAUAUUAAUCACCUUUUUGUAUUAAAAACUGUCAACCAGAUUUAUGGAAUUAAAAAUUUGUGGGUUUUUUUGGUAAGGCUUUACAUUCUUGAACUGAGGAGGUUUGAAGACCUUGUCUCAAACAGAAAUACAUGAUGUCCAUAUUUCUGUGUGUCACUUCUAAAUUUCACACUCACUGACAAAUACUAUCUAGAAACUAAUAUCAAAGGAUAUAAGUGAAAAUGAAAUGUACUAGCUAGCUACAUUUUGUAGUUAUUGGCUACAUAUUUGAGAGCAACAGUAACCUGGGGGCUUAUUUUUCCUCUCAAACCAGGGCAACAGAUUUAUUGUAGAAGGAAACUGAUACUUACAAA